rnacentral:rRNA from 1 species
GACAGAGGGUGCAAACGUUGCUCGGAAUUACUGGGCGUAAAGCGCGUGUAGGCGGACCGGCAAGUCGGGCGUGAAAGCCCUAGGCUCAACCUAGGAACUGCACUCGAAACUUCCGGCCUUGAGUGGUGGAGAGGGAAGUGGAAUUCCUGGUGUAGAGGUGAAAUUCGUAGAUAUCAGGAGGAACACCAGUGGCGAAGGCGGCUUCCUGGACACCAACUGACGCUGAGACGCGAAAGCGUGGGGAGCAAACAGG